GAGUACAACUCUGAGCGGUGGAUCACUCGGCUCGUGUGUCGAUGAAGAGCGCAGCCAACUGUGUGAAUUAAUGUAAACUGCAUACUGCUUUGAACAUCGACAUCUUGAACGCAUAUCGCGGCCAUGGGUUAGCCUGUGGCCACGCCUGUCCGAGGAUCGGCU
rnacentral:rRNA from 1 species